AGCUAUUUUUCCACACAUUAGCCAUUUCCAAUGUAUCUGUCGAAAUUUUCAUGACCAUUUUACCCUUAAUACAUAUUUCGAUUAAGUUACUGGUUGCAUGUAAUCAAAAUCCCCCAUUUUAGAUAAUUGUAUCUGAUAACCCAUUUUCUUACGACAUCUUUGUGUCAGACAAGUUGGUUUGUCAGAUUUGAAACCUUUCCAUUUGUCAAAAUCCUCGAAUCUCGAUCUUCUUUCUAUCCCCAUCUUAUAUCCAUAUUCUUUUCAUUUUCUUGUUGAUUUAAAUCAUUUUCUUGUGGGUAUUGUAUUUUGAGGUAUAAGAGCAUUUUUAUCGCGGGCUCUUGAGCUGCGUAUCUUGCUUUUUUUAAAUUAAAAAAAAAAUCCCUAAUUAAACAGGAUACGUAGUUUAAUGAAGGCACACAAGAGACGUUUGUUGUGCACACGUGUCAUAAUAUCAACUCUCUCGUUCUCUACCAAAGCUUCCUCUCUCUUUCUCUCGUGUAUCCUCGACGACUCCGAAGACAUCUGGCAAUCUCUCCUCGGCGAUGACCUAUCCGCGACGGAAUCAACAGAUGAGGAGUCGUCGACGGAAUCAGCCGGCAUUUCUAGCGGUUGAAUCGUCGUUUAUGUCGCUCUCCUCGAAGCCUCCGUCUCUCUCUCGAUCUCCUCGACGACUCUUCGUCUCUCUCGAUCGCGUCGACGCCUCCGCUUUUCUCUCUCGAUCUCCUCGACGACUCCUCGUCUCUCUCGAUCUCGUCGACGCCUCCGCGUCUCUCUGGCUCUCCUCGGCGUCUCUCCUCGACGGCUCACCUCGACGAAAUCAAAUCCAAAGGUAAGGCUAUGUAUUUGUCCUUUAAAGUCUGAAUCCUUCUUUGUUAUUUAGAUUCGUUUGUUGUGUUGCAUGUGUAUCUUGUCUUUGUUUAUGUCUCUGUCUUGGAUUCAACAGUUUAAGUCUCUUGUGUUUGUUUAUGUCUAUGUCUUUGAUUCAACAGAUGAUGGCUUCUUGUGUUAGAUGUUUGAUCUGUUAGAUGUUAAUAGGAUUGUGAUCUGGAACGAAUUGCAUUAGAGGAUUGUGUGUUGAUAUAUCAAUCAGUUCUGAUUCAUUUUGGUUUGUCUCUGCAUUUGUUUCUCUAGAUGGUCGGAUCCAGAGGCAUAAAGCUUCUUCAAAGAAGGUCACGGAACAAUUACACUACAGGUACAUCUUCUACUUUUGAUAUGUUUCAAUGUUUGUAGGAUUCUAGUCUGAAUUGUGUCUGAUCUCGGCUGGUUUGAAAUAAAUUCAUGGUGAUUAAUGAGUUAGGUAGAAGAAUUGAUUGUGGUCUGGAACGAAUUGCAUUACAUGAUUGAUUUUGGUUUGAUAUAUUACUAAGUUCUGAUUCAUUUGGUUUGUAUCUCUCUUUGUUUUUCUAGAUGGACGGAUCCAUAGGCAUGAAGCUUCUUCAAAGAAUAUCACCGAACAAUUGCAAUACAGGUCAAGACGAGUGUGGCAUUGUAGAUUCACGGAGUAGACAAAGUCACGGGCCAAGAAGAGUGUGACGUUGUAUUCUUGUGUUGUGUCAGUUCACGGAGUGU